GCAUCGGUGGUUCAGUGGUAGAAUGCUCGCCAGCACAUGGGCGGCCCGGGUUCGAUUCACAGCCGAUGCA
rnacentral:tRNA from 1 species